CCGAAGUUCUGGCGAGGAGAGCUGGCCUCGUCCGCCUUAUCUCUCUUUCUUUUGACUCAAUUCGGGCAUUCACAAACUCACACCACCGCCCGACUUCUCAAUCUCCGGCGAACUGCAGUGAGAAGCCGCCGCCACUCUCCCUCAAAAUCUCACCUAACCACCGCCUCAAUUUGAAAAGGUUCCAGCCGCCACCACCGCCUGUAUCUCAAGCGGCGGCGCCACUCUCUCCUCCAAACCCUAGAUCCCUAAUUCCUCUGUCUGAAACCCUAGGGCCCCAGAUCUAGACUCCACCCUCUCCGACCUCCGGCAUUAAUAGCAGCUCCUCGCCGCCGUGCCUGGACUUCCUCGAUCCCGAGUCAGACGGCGGCUAAGCGUCACCGCCGAUACUCUCUUUAAUUUUUGUGAAGCAGGAUUAUUAUGUGAAUAUGGGUUACACGAUUUAGACUAUCCGACAGGAGUUUCCGGAGCUUUUCUACAAAGAGCUAAGCUUUUAUACACGCCAUUUUUUGCUCGUUGAUGCGUUUUUUAGCUUUCAAGUUUAAUUUAAUUAUUCGUUUAGUUUUGGGGAUCAUAGUGAAGAAAUUAACAGGCCUACUUUGAGUAAAUGAAGUACUUGGGACUGGUUCACUGAAUUAAUACGAAUUGUUUGAUAUGGUAUUUGUAAUAACAUGUGAUCGAGUUGUGUUCUGUUUCUUGAUUUUGGGUUCAGUAAUUUCUUAACUUAUUUCUUUUUCUUGCAAAAAUUAGGACCUCCAAAACUAGAGAAUGAAGCUGGACACUCAGGUUAAGGUUUACCGUGAUGUAAGUAUUAGUAGUUCUUUUAGAGAUAAUGUAUGAUCUUGAUGAGUUGCUAACUUGCUAUGUCUUUGUAGUUUGUAGUCUAUCCUUCUAGUUUAGUUAUGGACCUUAUGGUCUUAUAGUCUUGAAGAUUGUAUAUGCUGUUUCUAUUCCUUGUAGGGGUAUGUCAAUUCUUGUAACUUGAAACAGGUACAAUAAAAGGUUUAACGACCAGUCAGCUUGAGGACAUUGGAUGCCAAAUAAUUCUUGGAAACACAUAUCACUUGGCUCUCCGUCCCACAUCUGAGCUCAUUGAUGAGUUGGGAGGGCUCCAUAAAUUUAUGAAUUGGCCUAGGGGGUUGCUUACUGACUCUGGUGGCUUUCAAAUGGGCUUUAUUUCUUGAAGGUUGCGGUUGGUUGAAGGAUUUUCGGCUGGUUUUCAUAUCCAUAUUAGUAUAUUCAAUACUAUCGCUUGAAGUGGUAGAUUUGAGGGAUGGAUUCAAAUUCCAUGAUCCAUCAUCACUACUCAUAAUUUUCAGUUUUAUUGAAGGAUUUGAGGAUGGAUUUGUUUUCCAUAAUAAUCAAAUACAUUAUUAUUUCUUUAGUGGAGGAUUAGAUUGGAUGAAGCUAUAUCUUUCACCCUCAUUUUGAAGUACUCUUUCAAGACUGGAUUCAUAAUUAUAUAAAAUGCAUGCCAUAAUAUGUAGGACCAUCUGAUUUAUUGCUCCAGUAAAUUGUGUCUUCCUUUUCUCUCAUAAAACGUUUAAAACUGAUGCACCUUGGGCAUAUGUAGAGUCCUUCUCUUUGUUUAUUAUGUCAGGUAACUUGUAAGUUUCUGUGCAUCUUGUGGAAGACAUCUCCUUUUCAUUGAUACUGUCUUUUAAAGCUGUGAUUUUUAUCUAAAUGCAUUGCUGAGUGAUUCUUAAACAGUCAUUUGUCUCUGGAAAGAGGGAAAAAAUAUAAACAAAAACAAGCAAGGAAGAAAGAAUAAAUAAAUUAACUUUACCAUAUCACCGACUUUCUAAAUAUAACUAUCUCAAAGCUAUCAGGAGUUCCCCUUAUGUUGUCCAGCAGUCUUGUGUAGUGCUGAUUCUUUGUUGGGAAAUCUGUAAAUAUGAGUGCCAUAGUAUUUUUUGCAUCUUUAGACUGGUCAUACUAUUUUCUCCUCUCGGUGUGUAUUAUCAGUGUAUUAUUUUCAGCUUAACUAUUGCUUUUGAUUCUGGGAGGUGUCUCUGUUUCAAAGUUGUUGCUUUAUAGUUGUAUGAUGAAAAUCUGAGAUAUAAUAUCACAUACUCUUUUCAUGUCUAUUUUCUUUGCAUUCAGGACUUGCAUUAAUACAUCCAUUACAUCUAUAUGGAUUUAUUAUGUGUAUAAGUGCAAGUGCAGCGAGAGCCUUCAAGUGGGGCUCUUCUUUCCAGUGAAGGAUAAGUAACUAAUCAUAAUAUCUGCUAAAUAUUUUCUUGACUAUUGUUUUUGCUUUUCUUGUAUGACUUCUACCUAAAAAAAAGCUUUUGGCAGUAAAGUCUAUACCGGUUGAAGUAAUAUAUAGUCUAGUUGAUUGUCUUAAUAGAAAUAAUAUUUGUAUCCUUACUUUGAUAAUUGUUGCUCUAUGUUUGAGUUCAUCUUCUCUUUCUCAAAGCAUAGCUGACUACCAGCUUUUAAUAAGCUCACUCGUCAUUGCAGGGAAAAGCUUAACUCCAUGAAUUUGAUGCUUUAUAUGGCACCGAUUGCUGUUGUAGUUUGGCUGUGUUUGUAAUGGAACCUGAUAUAUUUAACUUAGUUGUCGCACUUGGAAAGGAACAUAAAUUCAUGUGGAUUCUUCUUUUCGUUAAUUCAACAGUGGAUUAUGAAGCGAACUUGUGCAAUUUCCUGGUGACUAAGCAUACAAGUGCUCUAACACUCCAGGUUUGUGGUGGAUUAAAUGAGUCGUACGUUGAGCUGAAGAGGCUUGUGAAUUCACAAGAAAAGUUGUACCAUAUGGCUAGCUAGUUGCAUACUUAAUAUGUUUAGUAUUUUUGUAAGGCAUAAUAGUAUAGAUAGAACAGUUGUUGAAUUUUGACUAUAUUCAAAUCUUGUAUGAAUUCUUUUUUAUGAUAAUAAUAUAAAAUUAAAUAUUUUGG